GGUUUCAGGCACGUGUGGGUGAUUUUAGGUCAACUCAGGUGAUUUCUGACAAAACCGGAUGAAUUUGAGGCUCAUUCGGGAGAUUUGAGGCUGAAGCAGGAUUUCCCAUUGCCAAGCCCUGGGAGGCUGUGAGGAAGAGGAAGAUGCCCCGGGACACGCAGGCAGAGCAGGAGCUGAGGCUGGAGAGCAGGGAGGACAAAUCCCCGGGGCAGAAGCUCGUGGCAGAGGCCGUUUGGAGCGGCUCCACGGCGCAGGAAGGCAACGGGGAGGAAAAGGCCCGGAGAUGCCGCACGAGGAGGGGCUGCAAAGGCAGA